CAGAGAGUUAGAAGUUGAGAAGAUGGGCGCUCUCCGCAUUUUGAUUAUUUUUUCAUCUUUGUCUAUGUUUUCAAUGUCUUCAUCAUCAGAGGAGAUUAAGUUGGUGCCGUACUGGACCAGAGUUCCUCCAUAUCCAGUGUUUCCAAAUCAGCAGAGAUUUCCCCCAAUCCAGGUUUUUCCAUAUCAGCGGAGAGUUCCCCUACUGAUGUUUCCAUGGUGUCCAUGUCCGCCAAGAUAUUUCAUCUACCUCCCUCCCACAACUACAACCCCGCCUCCAACAACAACCCCAGCUCCACCUCCUCCACCACCAACAACUACAACUACAACCACAUCUCCAACAACAACCCUAGCUCCACCUCCUCCACCAACAACCCCAGGUAUACCACCAACAACCACAACUACGCCAACAACAACUACCACAACAACCCCACCUCCACCUCCUCCUCCAACAACCCCAGGUAUACCCCUACCACCACCAACUACAACCACCACCACUAGGAGAGGAGAUAACUGACCUACACUACAAGUCUAGGCCAAAAAAAACAAGAAGAUUGAUUUCAUAUGUUUCUAUGGUAUCCAUGUCUGACAGGAUAAUUCCACCACAUCCCUCCCAUAACUACAACCUUCCUGAUACAACUAAAACCACGCCUCCACCAACAUCCCCAGGUGUACCUCCACCAUCAUUAACUACAAUUACAACCUUACCUCCAACAACAACUCCAGCUCCACCUCCUCCACCAACAACCCCAGGUGUACCUCCACCACCAUUAACUACAAUUACAACCUUACCUCCAACAACAACUCCAGCUCCACCUCCUCCACCAACAACCCCAGGUAUAUCCCCACUACCAACAACCACAACUGCAACCACCAACAACUAUAACCACGCCAAUAACAACAACCAAAAACACGAGAAGAUUGAUUUCAGAUGUUUCUAUGGUGUCCAUGUCUGCCAAGAUAAUUCCACCAUGU